rnacentral:rRNA from 1 species
AUCCCUACGGGGGGCAGCAGUCGGGAAUAUUGCGCAAUGGAGGAAACUCUGACGCAGUGACGCCGCGUGCAGGAAAAAGGUUUUCGGAUUGUAAACUGCUUUAGACAGGGAAGAAACAAGACAGUACCUGUAAAAUAAGCUCCGGCUAACUACGUGCCAGCAGCCGCGGUAAUACGUAGGGGGCAAGCGUUAUCCGGAUUUACUGGGUGUAAAGGGAGCGUAGACGGCGAUGCAAGUCUGAAGUGAAAGCCCGGGGCUCAACCCCGGGACUGCUUUGGAAACUGUA